rnacentral:rRNA from 1 species
GACGAACGCUGGCGGCGUGCUUAACACAUGCAAGUCGAACGGUGAAGCUCCAGCUUGCUGGAGUGGAUCAGUGGCGAACGGGUGAGUAACACGUGAGCAACCUGCCCCUGACUCUGGAAUAAGCGCUGGAAACGGCGUCUAAUACUGGAUACGAGAAGGGUCCGCAUGGGCACUUUCUGGAAGGUUUUUCGGUUGGGGAUGGGCUCGCGGCCUAUCAGCUUGUUGGUGAGGUAAUGGCUCACCAAGGCGACGACGGGUAGCCGGCCUGAGAGGGCGACCGGCCACGCUGGGACUGAGACACGGCCCAGACUCCUACGGGAGGCAGCAGUGGGGAAUAUUGCACAAUGGGCGAAAGCCUGAUGCAGCGACGCCGCGUGAGGGAUGACGGCCUUCGGGUUGUAAACCUCUUUCAGCAGGGAAGAAGCGAAAGUGACGGUACCUGCAGAAGAAGCACCGGCUAACUACGUG